CCAAGCGAUAGAGUACUGUGAACCUUGUCAGAUCCGGAAGGAAGCAGCAAUAAGCAAUAUACUCUAUGUGCUUGGUUUUUCU
rnacentral:SRP_RNA from 1 species